rnacentral:rRNA from 1 species
UACGGGGGGGGCAAGCGUUGUUCGGAAUUACUGGGCGUAAAGGGCUCGUAGGUGGCCAACUAAGUCAGACGUGAAAUCCCUCGGCUUAACCGGGGAACUGCGUCUGAUACUGGAUGGCUUGAGAUUGGGAGAGGGAUGCGGAAUUCCAGGUGUAGCGGUGAAAUGCGUAGAUAUCUGGAGGAACACCGGUGGCGAAGGCGGCAUCCUGGGACCAACACUGACACUGAGGAGCGAAAGCCAGGGGAGCAAACGGG